rnacentral:rRNA from 1 species
AUGUCUGUACUCUCUGAAAGACGCAGCAUGAACCCAAGGCGAAAACUGUUCUUGGGCACCUUGAAAUCUUCAUAUAUGAAGGAUAGCAUGGCCUCCAGUCCACGCUCCUCAAAGGCCAUAGGAUCGUAUGCCGAAGUACUGAUACUGGCCUCCCGUAUGCAUCACCAUAUACCGCAGCGUUUUGCCUGUGAAGAUAUGCCUGAUGAGAGGGUCGAAGAACAGGGGCUGUCGAGGUGUUCCACCGAGCUGCACACAUCGAAUGAACUCUGUAGCACCAUCAGCAAACCUCUCGAAUCUUCGAACGGCGGCGGUGAUGCUGCCUGA